rnacentral:rRNA from 1 species
UCCGACGGUGAGGGAUGAAGGCUGGGGGCGCAAACCGGAGUAGAUACCCGGGUAGUCCCAGCAGUAAACGAUGCCAGCUAUGUGUUGCUGGAACCAUGGGUUCCAGCAGUGCCGAAGGGAAGCCGUGAAGCUGGCCACCUGGGAAGUACGGUCGCAAGGCUGAAACUUAAAGGAAUUGGCGGGGGAGUACCACAACCGGUGGAGCCUGCGGUUUAAUUGGAUACAACGCCGGGAAUCUUACCGGAGGGGACAGCAGUAUGAAGGCCAGGCUAAAGACCUUGCCAGAUCAGCUGAGAGGAGGUGCAUGGCCGUCGCCAGUUCGUACCGUGAGGCAUCCUGUUUAGUCAGGCAACGAUCGAGACCCGCAGUCUUAUUUGCCAGCAUGCCCUUUGGGGUGUAUGGGUACAAUAAGACGACCGCCAGCGCUAAGCUGGAGGAAGGAGCGGGCUACGGUAGGUCAGCAUGCCCCGAAUCCUCCGGGAUACACGCGGGCUACAAUGGUCAGGACAAAAGGUACCGACCUCGAAAGAGUGAGGUAACCCACAAACCUGAUCUCAGUCCGGAUCGAAUGCUGCAACUCGCCUUCG